UUUAUGUUCAUAAAUAAUUUUAUGCCCAUUUCUUGUGUAUUGAAAGUGGGACAAGCGAGAUAACUCUAAUACUUUUGUUCGGUCUUGUUUUUGGAACAGCCUCAGUAUAUGAUUGAGUACAAUCAGUGGCAGCGCCAUAUUUGUAUGGAAAUACAAUUUUAUUUUUGAACAAGCAAGUUGGCUUACAGCGUGUCCAGUGCACAGUUAAUACAUUUGAUGGACUUCUCGUGGUGUGAUCUUUUGGAUUUCCAAGGAAUUCAGCACAUUUAGAGCCAGUCCAAGAGUGGGAAAUACAGAAAGGGACCCUUGUGAUCAAGCAUUUAUUUUUACUUAGAACAAGAUGAGUACCGGUAAUAGGCCUACAGACUAUGGGGUGGUUACAAAGCCAGUUAAUUUACAACAAGAGGAAGUCGCAAGUGACACUCCAACAAGCAACAAUCAUUCAAGCCAAUUAGAAGAUGGCAAUUUUACCAAGUAAUUCAGGAAAGAGGACAUUGGCUUAGAAAAACAGUUUCAACCAUGAUGACAGGAGCAUCUGGUUGUAUCAAGUAGUAAAGUUUUGAUGUAAUUAUGCAUCUACAAGUGUGACACAUUAUCUGUUUCAGGAAAGAGGACAUUGGCUUAGGAAAACAUUUUCAACCAUGAUGACAGGAGCAUCUGGUUGUAUCAAGAAGUAGUAAAGUUUUGACGUAAUUAUGCAUCUAACAAAGUUUGUGUACAAUGCAUAAUAAUAUGGUAUUGUUUACAAGAGUUGAAAUACUUUCUUUGUAUGUUGGUAAUGUGUUAUUUUUCAUUGUUUGUAUCCGGUUUGUAUGAAUUUUAGGGAUACUUCUAUUGUAGUAAGAUUAAGACUCGCACUAGGGUUGGGUGGGGAUUACUGCUGAUGACAGUUCAGAUCUGCCUGUCAUUGGCAGUAAGUGGCAUUUUUACCUUACCCCACCUUUGAUGUAAAAAUUUUAUACAGUAAUGUUUUGAUCUAUUUCGAAGUUGCAUGUAGUGAUAUUGGUAUCACUGCAAGGUUUAUAAAUGUAAAUCUAUCAAACUACAUUUUCAUUUUUGUAAUAGUUUUACAAAAUUGUCAUUUGGUAAUAAAUGACCUUUUUCAACUUCAAACGGUGUUGUGUUGGUAUCAGAUAGUAUAAUAUUACAUCAAACAGAGCAACCUUUAGUGCGAGUAUCAGGAAGAUGGGCAUAAAUGCUAUUUAUGUUCAUAAAUAAUUUUAUGCCCAUUUCUUGUGUAUUGAAAGUGGGACAAGCGAGAUAACUCUAAUACUUUUGUUCGGUCUUGUUUUUGGAACAGCCUCAGUAUAUGAUUGAGUACAAUCAGUGGCAGCGCCAUAUUUGUAUGGAAAUACAAUUUUAUUUUUGAACAACCCUCCCACCUCUCCCUAAUAGUUAAAAAAUUAUAGUGUUCUUAAUUGAUGUGAAUAAUUUGACAAUAUUUUUCCAUAUUUCUUUUUUCAGUAGGUAAGGCAUUUUUACCUUACCCCACCUUUGAUGUAAAAAUUUUAUAAAGUAAUGUUUUGAUCUAUUUCGAAGUUGCAUGUAGUGAUAUUGGUAUCACUGCAAGGUUUAUAAAUGUAAAUCUAUCAAACUACAUUUUCAUUUUUGUAAUAGUUUUACAAAAUUGUCAUUUGGUAAUAAAUGACCUUUUUCAACUUCAAA